CCUACGGGGGGCAGCAGUGGGGAAUAUUGCACAAUGGGCGAAAGCCUGAUGCAGCAACGCCGCGUGAGCGAUGAAGGAUUUCGGUUCGUAAAGCUCUGUCCGCAAGGAAGAUAAUGACGGUACCUGAGUAGGAAGCCCCGGCUAACUACGUGCCAGCAGCCGCGGUAAUACGUAGGGGGCAAGCGUUAUCCGGAAUUACUGGGCGUAAAGGGAGCGUAGGUGGCGUCUUAAGUCAGAGGUGAAAGGCUAGGGCUAAACCGGGGUACGCCUUUGAAAAUGGGGAACUUGAGUGCAGGAGAGGUGAGUGGAAUUCCUAGUGUAGCGGUGAAAUGCGUAGAUAUUAGGAGGAACACCAGUUGCGAAGGCGGCUUACUGGACUGUAACUGACGCUGAGGCACGAAAGCGUGGGGAGCAAACAGGAUUAGAUACCCCAGUAGUC
rnacentral:rRNA from 1 species